CUUCUUUCUUCUCUCCAGCCUCUUUUCUGCGUUUGCUCUCUCCGACAUUUGGCUUCAAAACUAUCAUCUUCUUCCAUUCGAGAUUUCGUGCCUCUUCUCUGCGUUGCUCUCCGGCUAUUUAAACAGGUUUGGAAAUAUCAGACAAAGGGAAGUUUGUAGCUCCUAGAAGCAGAUUUGAUGGCUUCUUCAGACGAUGAUUCUUCAACUUACAUUUCUGACGAUGACUUUUAUCAAGACGGUUACCGUAAUCUUACCAAAGAAGAAGAGAUAGAAUAUUUUCGCGCCCUUGAAGAAACCGAAGUUCGGUUUCUUUUAUUUUAAUGUUCUGCUAUUAAAUCUUUUAAUAUUCUGCUUAUGAAAUUGAAAGCUCCAUCCUUAUUUUUGUUUACAGGGUUUUGAUGUACCAGAUUUUGGUAAUAAUAUCUUUGCCUUUGGUAUUAUCACUCCAAUAAGAUUGCAUGACAAGCUCUCGCUGCUUGGAGAGAUUCGAACUUCAGCAAGUGAAGCUAUCAAGCAUUACAAUAGUGAAAAUGGAACUGAUUUUGAAGUUUGUAGAUAUCGUGAAGGUGAAUCAUGGAGGGACAUGUGGGUCAAUGUAUUACAUCACUUUUAAUGCGAAACCCAUGGGAACAUGCACAGAAUUUUCUAAGAUAACUUUCCAAGCUAAAGUUUUUUACGGUAUUCCUAUUCCUACUGGAUGUAUCGAGGUUGACCUUUGCAGACCAAAAACCUCUCAUUGAGAAUGAAAUGUUAGUUUCCUUUUGUUUGUA